rnacentral:rRNA from 1 species
UACAGAGGGUGCGAGCGUUAAUCGGAAUUACUGGGCGUAAAGCGCACGUAGGUGGCGACGUAAGUCGGGUGUGAAAGCCCCGGGCUCAACCUGGGAAUGGCGAUGGAAACUGGCGGGCUUGAGUAUGGCAGAGGGGGGUGGAAUUCCGCGUGUAGCAGUGAAAUGCGUAGAGAUGCGGAGGAACACCGAUGGCGAAGGCAGCCCCCUGGGCCAAUACUGACGCUCAGGCACGAAAGCGUGGGGAGCAAACAGG